rnacentral:tRNA from 7 species
GCAUGUAUGGGUGAGGUGGAUUAGCCAGCGGACUGCAACUCCGUUUAUACAGGUUCGAGUCCUGUUACAUGCUCCA